UCCACCCCCUCCCUCUCUCCCUCCCCCUCCUCCUCCUCCUCUCUCUGAGCUCCAAGCCACACCUACCACCGCAAGAACUAGCAGUCGUCUCCAACAGAUGCAGAACCGACUGAGGACCAGAAUGAUGAAGAGAACAGAGUCAACUGACGUACCCGAGACACCAAAUAAGAAGACGCUGGAUUUUAAAUCUCGUCAGUGGGCGGAGAUACAGGCUCGUCAGCGUAAGAUGUCAGUCCCUGACUUCCUUCACUUAGCAAA